UUAAGCGACUAAGCGUACACGGUGGAUGCCCUGGCAGUCAGAGGCGAUGAAGGACGUGCUAAUCUGCGAUAAGCGUCGGUAAGGUGAUAUGAACCGUUAUAACCGGCGAUUUCCGAAUGGGGAAACCCAGUGUGUUUCGACACACUAUCAUUAACUGAAUCCAUAGGUUAAUGAGGCGAACCGGGGGAACUGAAACAUCUAAGUACCCCGAGGAAAAGAAAUCAACCGAGAUUCCCCCAGUAGCGGCGAGCGAACGGGGAGCAGCCCAGAGCCUGAAUCAGUGUGUGUGUUAGUGGAAGCGUCUGGAAAGGCGCGCGAUACAGGGUGACAGCCCCGUACACAAAAAUGCACAUACUGUGAGCUCGAUGAGUAGGGCGGGACACGUGGUAUCCUGUCUGAAUAUGGGGGGACCAUCCUCCAAGGCUAAAUACUCCUGACUGACCGAUAGUGAACCAGUACCGUGAGGGAAAGGCGAAAAGAACCCCGGCGAGGGGAGUGAAAAAGAACCUGAAACCGUGUACGUACAAGCAGUGGGAGCACGCUUAGGCGUGUGACUGCGUACCUUUUUGUAUAAUGGGUCAGCGACUUAUAUUCUGUAGCAAGGUUAACCGAAUAGGGGAGCCGAAGGGAAACCGAGUCUUAACUGGGCGUUAAGUUGCAGGGUAUAGACCCGAAACCCGGUGAUCUAGCCAUGGGCAGGUUGAAGGUUGGGUAACACUAACUGGAGGACCGAACCGACUAAUGUUGAAAAAUUAGCGGAUGACUUGUGGCUGGGGGUGAAAGGCCAAUCAAACCGGGAGAUAGCUGGUUCUCCCCGAAAGCUAUUUAGGUAGCGCCUCGUGAAUUCAUCUCCGGGGGUAGAGCACUGUUUCGGCAAGGGGGUCAUCCCGACUUACCAACCCGAUGCAAACUGCGAAUACCGGAGAAUGUUAUCACGGGAGACACACGGCGGGUGCUAACGUCCGUCGUGAAGAGGGAAACAACCCAGACCGCCAGCUAAGGUCCCAAAGUCAUGGUUAAGUGGGAAACGAUGUGGGAAGGCCCAGACAGCCAGGAUGUUGGCUUAGAAGCAGCCAUCAUUUAAAGAAAGCGUAAUAGCUCACUGGUCGAGUCGGCCUGCGCGGAAGAUGUAACGGGGCUAAACCAUGCACCGAAGCUGCGGCAGCGACGCUUAUGCGUUGUUGGGUAGGGGAGCGUUCUGUAAGCCUGUGAAGGUGUGCUGUGAGGCAUGCUGGAGGUAUCAGAAGUGCGAAUGCUGACAUAAGUAACGAUAAAGCGGGUGAAAAGCCCGCUCGCCGGAAGACCAAGGGUUCCUGUCCAACGUUAAUCGGGGCAGGGUGAGUCGACCCCUAAGGCGAGGCCGAAAGGCGUAGUCGAUGGGAAACAGGUUAAUAUUCCUGUACUUGGUGUUACUGCGAAGGGGGGACGGAGAAGGCUAUGUUGGCCGGGCGACGGUUGUCCCGGUUUAAGCGUGUAGGCUGGUUUUCCAGGCAAAUCCGGAAAAUCAAGGCUGAGGCGUGAUGACGAGGCACUACGGUGCUGAAGCAACAAAUGCCCUGCUUCCAGGAAAAGCCUCUAAGCAUCAGGUAACAUCAAAUCGUACCCCAAACCGACACAGGUGGUCAGGUAGAGAAUACCAAGGCGCUUGAGAGAACUCGGGUGAAGGAACUAGGCAAAAUGGUGCCGUAACUUCGGGAGAAGGCACGCUGAUAUGUAGGUGAAGUCCCUCGCGGAUGGAGCUGAAAUCAGUCGAAGAUACCAGCUGGCUGCAACUGUUUAUUAAAAACACAGCACUGUGCAAACACGAAAGUGGACGUAUACGGUGUGACGCCUGCCCGGUGCCGGAAGGUUAAUUGAUGGGGUCAGCGCAAGCGAAGCUCUUGAUCGAAGCCCCGGUAAACGGCGGCCGUAACUAUAACGGUCCUAAGGUAGCGAAAUUCCUUGUCGGGUAAGUUCCGACCUGCACGAAUGGCGUAAUGAUGGCCAGGCUGUCUCCACCCGAGACUCAGUGAAAUUGAACUCGCUGUGAAGAUGCAGUGUACCCGCGGCAAGACGGAAAGACCCCGUGAACCUUUACUAUAGCUUGACACUGAACAUUGAGCCUUGAUGUGUAGGAUAGGUGGGAGGCUUUGAAGUGUGGACGCCAGUCUGCAUGGAGCCGACCUUGAAAUACCACCCUUUAAUGUUUGAUGUUCUAACGUUGACCCGUAAUCCGGGUUGCGGACAGUGUCUGGUGGGUAGUUUGACUGGGGCGGUCUCCUCCUAAAGAGUAACGGAGGAGCACGAAGGUUGGCUAAUCCUGGUCGGACAUCAGGAGGUUAGUGCAAUGGCAUAAGCCAGCUUGACUGCGAGCGUGACGGCGCGAGCAGGUGCGAAAGCAGGUCAUAGUGAUCCGGUGGUUCUGAAUGGAAGGGCCAUCGCUCAACGGAUAAAAGGUACUCCGGGGAUAACAGGCUGAUACCGCCCAAGAGUUCAUAUCGACGGCGGUGUUUGGCACCUCGAUGUCGGCUCAUCACAUCCUGGGGCUGAAGUAGGUCCCAAGGGUAUGGCUGUUCGCCAUUUAAAGUGGUACGCGAGCUGGGUUUAGAACGUCGUGAGACAGUUCGGUCCCUAUCUGCCGUGGGCGCUGGAGAACUGAGGGGGGCUGCUCCUAGUACGAGAGGACCGGAGUGGACGCAUCACUGGUGUUCGGGUUGUCAUGCCAAUGGCACUGCCCGGUAGCUAAAUGCGGAAGAGAUAAGUGCUGAAAGCAUCUAAGCACGAAACUUGCCCCGAGAUGAGUUCUCCCUGACUCCUUGAGAGUCCUGAAGGAACGUUGAAGACGACGACGUUGAUAGGCCGGGUGUGUAAGCGCAGCGAUGCGUUGAGCUAACCGGUACUAAUGAACCGUGAGGCUUAACCUU
rnacentral:rRNA from 1 species